CUUGCAGUAUCUGUUCUGUGAGCAUGUGUGUGUGUAGCACAUAGUUCUGUACUCAGGGCAGAGUGAAGUGCGUCGACACAGACAGGGUGCUGUGCUUGUGUGCGCAGUGGGUGUAACCUUAAAUCGCACUACUAGUCCCCUCUUAUCUCAUGUCUGGGGUCAUCUAUACAGUACAAUAAAAACAUAAUAAAAAUGAGAAUAAACAUUUGAAGUUGUG